CUGGCUUACAGUUUCAGAGGGUUCCAUUUCUGAGAUUUUAAAAGUCACUUUUAUUCAGAUGACACAAUGGCGGCAGCAUCAAAGCUCUGCCAUGUGGGCACUCCUGCUGUGUGAAGCCUGGCUGGCAUCUAUUUGCCUUCAAUGAACAAGUACCCUGCUAAUGUGCUUGCUGUAAACCCCUUAUCCAGCUGAGCCAAGGAUGCUAAACUUUGCUUCAACAUUGAGUGUUAAUAUAUAAAUAACUUCUGUGUAAUGUCUCCUGGCUUCAUCAGAGGACCAUGUUCCAAAGCCAUCAAGGCAAAUGGAGUCCCUUGGGACACCCCUUCUGAAAGUAAUUAAAGCUGAGAGGGUGUGGAGAGGCCAUUCUCGUGCAUGGCCACCUGAUACUAAGUGGACAUCUUCCAGACUUGGCUUCUA